UUUCCAGAGAUGGAUUGGUGCCUUCGGGAACUCUGAGACAGGUGCUGCAUGGCUGUCGUCAGCUCGUGUUGUGAAAUGUUGGGUUAAGUCCCGCAACGAGCGCAACCCUUAUCCUUUGUUGCCAGCGGUUAGGCCGGGAACUCAAAGGAGACUGCCAGUGAUAAACUGGAGGAAGGUGGGGAUGACGUCAAGUCAUCAUGGCCCUUACGAGUAGGGCUACACACGUGCUACAAUGGCGCAUACAAAGAGAAGCGACCUCGCGAGAGCAAGCGGACCUCAUAAAGUGCGUCGUAGUCCGGAUUGGAGUCUGCAACUCGACUCCAUGAAGUCGGAAUCGCUAGUAAUCGUGGAUCAGAAUGCCACGGUGAAUACGUUCCCGGGCCUUGUACACACCGCCCGUCACACCAUGGGAGUGGGUUGCAAAAGAAGUAGGUAGCUUAACCUUCGGGAGGGCGCUUACCACUUUGUGAUUCAUGACUGGGGUGAAGUCGUAACAAGGUAGGCGUAGUGCU
rnacentral:rRNA from 1 species